rnacentral:rRNA from 1 species
UCCAGACUCCUACGGGAGGCAGUAGUGGGGGAUAUUGCACAAUGGGGGAAACCCUGAUGCAGCGACGCCGCGUGAGCGAUGAAGUAUUUCGGUAUGUAAAGCUCUAUCAGCAGGGAAGAAAAUGACGGUACCUGACUAAGAAGCCCCGGCUAACUACGUGCCAGCAGCCGCGGUAAUACGUAGGGGGCAAGCGUUAUCCGGAUUUACUGGGUGUAAAGGGAGCGUAGACGGCAGGGCAAGUCUGGAGUGAAAGGCAGGGGCCCAACCCCUGGACUGCUCUGGAAACUGUCCGGCUGGAGUGCAGGAGAGGUAAGUGGAAUUCCUAGUGUAGCGGUGAAAUGCGUAGAUAUUAGGAGGAACACCAGUGGCGAAGGCGGCUUGCUGGACUGUAACUGACGUUGAGGCUCGAAAGCGUGGGGAGCAAACAGGAUUAGAUACCCUCGUA